rnacentral:rRNA from 1 species
UACGUAGGGUGCGAGCGUUAAUCGGAAUUACUGGGCGUAAAGCGUGCGCAGGCGGUUUGCCAAGUCAGGGGUGAAAUCCCCGGGCUUAACCUGGGAAUUGCGCUUGAAACUAGCAGGCUUGAGUGUGGCAGAGGGGGGUGGAAUUCCACGUGUAGCAGUGAAAUGCGUAGAGAUGUGGAGGAACACCGAUGGCGAAGGCAGCCCCCUGGGUCAACACUGACGCUCAUGCACGAAAGCGUGGGGAGCAAACAGG